AGUGAACGCUGGCGGUAGGCCUAACACAUGCAAGUCGAACGGCAGCACAGUAAGAGCUUGCUCUUACGGGUGGCGAGUGGCGGACGGGUGAGGAAUACAUCGGAAUCUACUUUUUCGUGGGGGAUAACGUAGGGAAACUUACGCUAAUACCGCAUACGACCUACGGGUGAAAGCAGGGGAUCUUCGGACCUUGCGCGAUUGAAUGAGCCGAUGUCGGAUUAGCUAGUUGGCGGGGUAAAGGCCCACCAAGGCGCCGAUCCGUAGCUGGUCUGAGAGGAGGAUCAGCCACACGGGAGCUGAGACACGGUCCAGACUCCUACGGGAGGCAGCAGUGGGGAAUAUUGGACAAUGGGUGCAAGCCUGAUCCAGCCAUACCGCGUGGGUGAAGAAGGCCUUCGGGUUGUAAAGCCCUUUUGUUGGGAAAGAAAAGCAGCAGGUUAAUACCCCGCUGUUCUGACGGUACCCAAAGAAUAAGCACCGGCUAACUUCGUG
rnacentral:rRNA from 1 species